AUUGAACGCUGGCGGCAGGCCUAACACAUGCAAGUCGAACGAGUGGCGGACGGGUGAGUAAUGUCUGGGAAACUGCCUGAUGGAGGGGGAUAACUAGUGGAAACGGUAGCUAAUACCGCAUACAAUCGGAGUUGCACAGAUGGGAUUAGCUAGUAGGUGGGGUAACGGCGCACCUAGGCGACGAUCCCUAGCUGGUCUGAUCGGAUGACCAGCCACACUGGAACGUAGACACGGUCCAGACUCCGACGGGAGGCAGCAGUGGGGAAUAUUGCACAAUGGGCGCAAGCCUGAUGCAGCCAUGCCGCUUGUAUGAAGAAGGCCUUCGGGUUUUAAAGUACUUUCAGCGGGGAGGCGUUACCCGCAGAAGAAGCACCGGCUAACUCCGUGCCAGCCGCCGCGGUAAUUC
rnacentral:rRNA from 1 species